rnacentral:rRNA from 1 species
AUGAGUAGCCAUACUUUUGAUGCUUAUAAUGCUAUGUUAGAUUUGUUUGGCCCACCAUCUCUUUUGGUUAAUGGAACGAUUUUAACUCUAGAACAUGUGAUGCAACGGCUUGAUAUUAUUGAAAAUAAAAUUGCCACUGUUGAGUUGACUGAAAAUUUGGAUAAAAAGAUUCAUAAUCACAUUACCCAAUUUGGAUCUAGGGUUGGAGUUACUUUGAAAAAUCUUAAAGAAAAAGAACCUAUAGUCAAUGAAAAAUUAGAUCUAGACUCUGCUAGAAUCGGUAAACUUGAGGAGAUCAUUACAAACUUAGGUUCCGCGUUUUCCCCCAUGAAAAACACUCCAAAAACCCCUACUAAAAUUGCCAAGCUUAUUUAUGUUCCUAAAAAUAAGGGUGAAUCUUCUAAUAAGGGAGACGCAGAUCUCAAAUCCAUAAGUGUUCUUCCAAAUUGUUUCUGUAUCGUUAAAGAACCUUAUGCUACCAAUGAAUUUCUUGAAUUUUUGCCUAAAGGUUUAGAUAUUUCUAAAAGGGGAGAAAUCCCUAGAGAUCACAUGUACUCUAUUGAUGAAUUUAGUGCCAAAGAUGGCGCUCGUUAG